GGCAAAAACUACCCUAUAUUUGUAAUAACUUCUUCCACUACAGUAAUUUAAGAAUAACUUUUUUAAAUUAAUGCACUAUUGAGAAAAGUCCAUUGUUCUUCAACUUUAGCCUUUUUUUGUAUUGCCACUAACCACUAAAUAGGCGGAUUUUAGAAAAUGAAUACAGUAUUUUUAAAAAUAUGAUAAUUAAAAAAUUAUUUCCAAUUCCAUGACAAUUUGUAUGAUUUUUUUUUUUAAAUACAUCAUUGGAAAACACAAGAUAACGACGUCGUUCGAAGCAGAACUGUAAGGCGCCCUUCGGCCGAGCAUCGACUCUCUUCACUGCAAUCGGUGGCUUUUGCGGUCUCUCUCUAGCUCUAGCGUUGUUGGGUGAAUUCAUCAAUAAGGAAAAAUGCAGUUCUUUGGAGGGUCGGAGAUCAGCCCAUUGCCGCCGCUGCCAACAGCAUCGGGAAACAAUGGCCACAUGAUGUAUGUGUUUAACAGGAAUGGGGUGUGCUUGCUUCACAGGAAUGGAAUCGCCCUCUUAGGACUCUGAAUGCCCAGCAAGACCAUAAGCUCAUGUUUGGUCUGCUUUUCUCUCUUAAGUCCUUAACAGCUGAGAUGGAUCCCACUGAGUAUAUCUUCUUCCUAGUCUUUGAUUCGAAUUGGAACUGUUUUCGGGGAAAUGGAAUUACUUGAUUUUGUAUUUGGAUAACUUUUGAAAGCAUAAAUUCAUUGUUUGGAAUAGAAUUAUGACAUAUAUGUAAGAAGAAAGAAA